CGUUUUGGGGGCUUCCUCUGUUGCUGUGUCCUCAGCUGCCUCUGCACAUCAAUAGACAUCAUAAAAAGACAAAACAUCAUAGCGUACAUCAACCUUUAUUAUCUUCCAACCACCAGUAGAGAAUAAACAGUACAAAUAUCGUCACCUGUAAAGCCUGAGUUACCGAGAAUAGUCUACCCAACAAAAAGAAAACGAGCGCUGGUCCUUCCUCUCACAUGCGCCGACCCACCCCCUCCCCAACCACCGGCCGUCUGCGCCUGCGCGUGCCUCACCAGAGUGUGUUCAGCCUUCAUCGAGAGUGGACUUCGUGACGGCCGGCGUGGCACAGGACUUCUACCGUGGCCAGUGAUCAAGAAACGAGACGAGAAGAGAGAAGGGAAAGGGUCUAAGGGAAGGAUGAUGAUGAUGGUGAUGCUGGUCCCUGGUGAAAGGCGGCUAACAGGACAGGUGAGGGGAGCGUCGAAGGGACCCUGACACCUGUACGCCAACUCCACACGACUGUCGACCCACCUGUCACGUCACCUGCCCCGGAGAUCAAGCGCCCCGUCCCAGGCUCCCUCAGUACCCCGCCCUGGAAGACACAAGCAUGGGACUGUCUCGCGGGGGCUGUUCCGAGUGACUUAAGCCGACGUAAGCGUGCGAGGAAACGGCCAUCGGGAAUUUAAUUUGAGCGGCAGUCUGGAUCAUUAGGCGGGCGGCGGCGGUGCUCAUGGGACCCUUAUGACAACAGGCGGCAGCUGCGUCCUCUGCGGCUUCGUUUCUGCUCAUCAGUGACAGACAACCUCCAGGAAAGAGAGAGAGGAGCCCAGCCAAUCAAGAGCCCUGACAAACGAGGAUAAGGAGGAGGAGGAAGAGAAGAAACUGUAUGAAAAUGAUGAGAAAGAUGAGAAAAAAUUGCAAGAGAAUGAAGAGGAGACAACGACACCCAGGCCCCAAAGACACACGGUUUGAACAGACAACAGCCAUACACGAGGAUUUGCGCCCAGACUCCUUGAAUUCGUUGGGUACCACCAGUGUGCUCCAUCCUGUCUGCUUGGCAAGAGAAGAGGCAGCGAGGAGGUCAGGACACCGCAGAGACCAAGGAUAAGAGAUGCAAGUAUAACGGACAGUGCAGUGACGCGCAGACGCACGGUUAACCUACACUGGCAUCCCCACCCACCCACCUGUACUGUCCUGGAGGGAAAGACUUCCUGCACAUGUUGCUGCUGCUGGUCAGUCUUCAGGACGUGCCUAUGAGAUGAUGAUGCUUGUAAACUUUCUCUGCCUACCAUAUGAUGAAGACCCAAUAAAUUAAUUAAUGGUCCAAUGAUUUGUUUUCUUUCUAUAUCACGCACUUACAGUUUCUCUCCGGAGACUCUUUGAAGUAUCAUUGAGAGUAUUAAGUAACAGAUCCAGCUGUUCUUCCUGCAUAUUAUUUACCAAAUUUGAUUGUGGACCUCAAGGCUGUAAUGGUCACCUGCCUUGCCGUCACUGCCACCCCCCAGCAAUGAUGUCUAUCGCCUGCUACAGUUCAGUUCACCGCUGGCUGGUCUCUGGCAAUGACGCUCUUCCCUGGAGCUCCUUUGUAUCCUG